GAUGAACGCUGGCGGCGUGCCUAACACAUGCAAGUCGAACGAAGCGUCUUAAAGGAAGUUUUCGGAUGGAAUUUGGGAUGACUGAGUGGCGGACGGGUGAGUAACGCGUGGAUAACCUGCCUCAUACAGGGGGAUAACAGCUAGAAAUGGCUGCUAAUACCGCAUAAGCGCACAGUGCCGCAUGGCAGUGUGUGAAAAACUCCGGUGGUAUGAGAUGGAUCCGCGUCUGAUUAGCUAGUUGGUGAGGUAACGGCUCACCAAGGCGACGAUCAGUAGCCGACCUGAGAGGGUGAUCGGCCACAUUGGGACUGAGACACGGCCCAA
rnacentral:rRNA from 1 species